AGUGAAUAGAUACCCUGGUAGUCCCAGCUGUAAACGAUGCGCGUUAGGUGUAUCGGUGACCACGAGUCACCGAGGUGCCGAAGAGAAAUCGUGAAACGUGCCGCCUGGGAAGUACGGUCGCAAGGCUGAAACUUAAAGGAAUUGGCGGGGAGCACCACAACAGGUGGAGCCUGCGGUUUAAUUCGGACGUCAACGCCGGGAAACCGUACACCAGAUAAGACAGCUGAAUGAUAGUCGGGGCGUGAAGACUCUACUUGACUAGCUGAGAGGAGGUGCAUGGCCGUCGUCAGUUCGUACUGUGAAGCAUCCUGUUAAGUACAGGCAACGAGCGAGACCCACGCCAACAGUUGCCAGCUCGUCCUCCGGGAUGGA
rnacentral:rRNA from 1 species